AGAGUUUGAUCCUGGCUCAGGAUGAACGCUGGCGGCGUGCCUAAUACAUGCAAGUCGAACGCACUGUGGUUCAACUGAUUUGAAGAGCUUGCUCUGAUAUGACGAUGAACAUUGCAGUGAGUGGCGAACGGGUGAGUAACACGUGGGAAACCUACCUCUUAGCGGGGGAUAACAUCUGGAAACAGAUGCUAAUACCGCAUAACACUAGCAACCGCAUGGUUGCUACUUGAAAGAUGGUUCUGCUAUCACUAAGAGAUGGUCCCGCGGCGCAUUAGUUAGUUGGUGAGGUAAUGGCUCACCAAGACGAUGAUGCGUAGCCGAGUUGAGAGACUGAUCGGCCACAAUGGGACUGAGACACGGCCCAUACUCCUACGGGAGGUAGCAGUAGGGAAUCUUCCACAAUGGGCGAAAGUCUGAUGGAGCAACGCCGCGUGUGUGAUGAAGGGUUUCGGCUCGUAAAACACUGUUGUAAGAGAAGAAUAGCAUCAAGAGUAACUGCUUGGUGUGUGACGGUAUCUUAUCAGAAAGGAACGGCUAAAUACGUGCCAGCAGCCGCGGUAAUACGUAUGUUCCAAGCGUUAUCCGGAUUUAUUGGGCGUAAAGCGAGCGCAGACGGUUUUUUAAGUCCGAAGUGAAAGCCCACAGCUUAACUGUGGAAGUGCUUUGGAAACUGGAUGACUUGAGUGCAGUAGAGGAGAGUGGAAUUCCAUGUGUAGCGGUGAAAUGCGUAGAUAUAUGGAGGACACCAGUGGCGAAGCGGCUCUCUGGACUGUAACUGACGUUGAGGCUCGAAAGUGUGGGGUAGCAACAGGAUUAGAUACCCUGUAGUCCACACGUAAACGAUGACUGCUAGAUUGUUUUGGGGCUUUCGACCCUUAGUGUCGCAGCUAUGCAU
rnacentral:rRNA from 1 species